CCUACGGGUGGCUGCAGUGGGGAAUAUUGCACAAUGGGCGCAAGCCUGAUGCAGCCAUGCCGCGUGUGUGAAGAAGGCCUUCGGGUUGUAAAGCACUUUCAGCGGGGAGGAAGGCGUUAAGGUUAAUAACCUUGUCGAUUGACGUUACCCGCAGAAGAAGCACCGGCUAACUCCGUGCCAGCAGCCGCGGUAAUACGGAGGGUGCAAGCGUUAAUCGGAAUUACUGGGCGUAAAGCGCACGCAGGCGGUCUGCCAAGUCGGAUGUGAAAUCCCCGGGCUCAACCUGGGAACUGCAUUCGAAACUGGCAGGCUAGAGUCUUGUAGAGGGGGGUAGAAUUCCAGGUGUAGCGGUGAAAUGCGUAGAGAUCUGGAGGAAUACCGGUGGCGAAGGCGGCCCCCUGGACAAAGACUGACGCUCAGGUGCGAAAGCGUGGGGAGCAAACAGGAUUAGAUACCCGGGUAGUC
rnacentral:rRNA from 1 species